rnacentral:tRNA from 1 species
GCCAGCUUAGCUCAGUGGUAGAGCAGCUGUUUUGUAAACAGCCGGUCACCCGUUCGAAUCGGGUAGCUGGCUCCA